rnacentral:lncRNA from 1 species
GGUUCGGAGGCUCAAUUUCUUGAUCGCAGUUGGACAGCCUAAUAUUACCUAGUAGCUAUAGUGGUGAGUCUUCAUCCACUGAGGACUUAUUAUCUCUUAUUCAGUUACUUCAGUAUUUUAUUAUGAUCAGUAAGUCAGAGUUAGUUGGGGUUUUCUUCAUCAACUCUUCAGUCAGUUAGAGGCUUUCAGAUGAUCAGAUAGUUAGUUCGACAGUCAGUCAGUUUAUUUCAGUUUUAUUAGUUAUUUCAAACAUUUCAGUACUUUGUGUUUUAGUAUUUCAGAUUUACAUUAUCUAAUCCUAGUAAAUUCCGCAUAUGUUGUUUUACUACUAUUUUGUUCAGUGCUCAUAGUAGGUACCAGCUCAUGGGUUAGCUUGUAGUCACUUGUGACCGUAAUCACCAUUGUCAUGAUUAGAGGGUAGCCUCGGGUCAUGACAACUGGUUUCUCUAGUUCAUAAAUUUAUUGGUCUGGAUAGUUAUUAUAGAUAGUUCAUUGAGAGAUUUUCUACUAUUAUAGUGGUGAUAACUAAAUCGACUCAGAAGGAGGUUCCUUUUCGAUGGUUCAAGGAGUGUGAGUCAAGCUUUGGAAAUCUCAAGCGAUUUCUCACUUCAUUUUGUAUUUUAUCUUUUUGUGUUGAGGGUGAGGGAUUCACCAUGUAUUGUGAUACUUCUAGUGUUAGUUUGGGUUGUGUACUAAUGUAGUAGGGUCGUGUUAUUUCUUAUGCAUUAAGGCAACUAAAAGUGCAUGAGCGAAACUACCCCACUCAUGAUUUAGAGUUGGCGAUGAUAGUAUUCACGCUUAAGAUUUGGAUACAUUAUCUUUACGGGGUGGAUUGUGAGAUAUUCAUGGAUCACCAGAGUCAUCAACAUCUUAUGACUCAGAGAGAGCUUAAUUCUAGGUAGCAUAGAUGGAUGGAGUUUCUUAAGGAUUAUGAUAUCUCUAUCUUGCAUCAUUCGGGCAGGGCAAAAGAGGUAACAAAUGCCUUAAGAUUAAAAACAAUGAGUAUGGGUAGCUUGGCUUAUAUUUUAGUUUCUCAAAGGCCAUUAGCAUGAGACAUUUAGUCCUUAGCUAACUUGAUGGUACAACUUGAUAUUUCAGACCCUAGGAGGAUUUUUACUAGUGUUGAGGCAAGGUCCUCACUAUUUUAGCAAAUUUGGGGUCGCUAGUUUGAGGAUAAAAGACUUUGCAUCAUCCAUUAUCGGGUGUUGAGUGGCGAGUCUAAGGGAGAUACCAUAGAUUCUGAGGGAGUCUUGAUAUUUGAUAUCCACAUUUAUGUUCCAAGGGUUGAUGACUUUAUUCAGUUGAGGUUCACAACUCUAGAUAUUUCAUUCACCCACGUACCACUAAGAUGUAUAGAGAUUGGGGGCAACAUUAUUGGUGGAGUGGUAUGAAAAGAGAUGUGGCUGGCUUUGUAGCUCAUUAUUGGUGGAGUGGUAUGACCAAUUUGGCAUAUUUCAGUCCUAUUCAGUUAUCCUUAGUGUUGAAAGGUUAGCUCGAAUCUAUGUUAGUGAGAUAGUCUAUUUGCAUGGUGUGCCUAUAUCUAUCAUGUUAGAAUAGGUUUAGCGUUCACUUCUAGAUUUUGGAGAGCUUUUUAAGAGCAGUUGGAUACUCAGGUGGAUCUUAGUACUGCCUUUUACCCUUGGACUGAUGAGCAGUCUGAGAGGACUAUUCAAGUUCUCAAAGAUAUGCUCCAAGCCUUGCAUACAUUUUGGAGGUCAGUGGGAGCAACACUUAGCCUUAGCAGAGUUUACAUAUAAUAAUAGCUACCAUUCGAGUAUUGAGAUGGCGCCUUUUGAGGCUUUAUAUAUCAUUUCACAAUUACAUAGUUUGAAAAUUUAUAGAUUAAGCCUUGUGGUACUGACUUACUUCAGGAGUCAUUGGAUAGAGUUAGGGUGAUUCAAGACUAAUUGAGGGCAGUUCAGAGUAGGAAGAAGGCUUAUGCAGAUCUUUUACUUUGUGCCUAGAGAUUUAGGGUUGGUUAUUGGGUAUUCCUCCAUGUAUCACCCUUGAAGGGUGUGAUAAGGUUCAGGAGGAAAUAGAAGCUCAAACCCAGAUAUAGACCUUUCGAGAUACUUUGCAUAGUUGGUGUGUGGUUUAUGAGUUAGCCUUAUUAUUGGAUUUUACUGCUAUCCAUCUGUUUUUCUAAGUUUCUACAUUGCGGUGAUACAUUCCUCACCCAUCUGAUGUGCUUAGAUAGGACUCAAUUAAGUUAGAAGAGCGAUUGCUCUUUGUAGAAGAGCUUGUACUUAUUUUGGCUAGUAAUGUCAGACGAUUGUGCACUAGGGAGUUCUAGUAGUUAAAGUUUAGUGGAUGCAUUACCCAGUAGAGGAGGAUACUUAGGAUAUCGAGAGAGAGAUACGGACGCAGUACCCUCACCUAUUUGAGGCUUCUGGUAUAUACUGAUCCUUACUUUUGCGGAGGAAAUUUCAUUUAGUAGUGGAUAUUGUAAUGACUCUUUAGGUAAUUUUCCUUAUUUCCUUUUAUUUUCACUUUUUAGAGCUUUCCUAUAGUUGUCCCAAGUUAUUUAUGACUUGCUGCGACUGAUAGUUUGGUUACGAGACAAUUCAUUUGGUUUUUAGAGCCAAUUCCCUAUUUUGAAGCCUUUAAUGGUUCAAAUUGUCUACUGAGUAAGAAAUACAGUCAAACAACCUUAUGCCAAUUUUAAUAGUUCCAACAGCUCCAAAAUAUCGAUUUUAGGUUAGGUGGACCUUUAGUUUGGGUCUCGAGGCUUUUGGACUCAUUUUGCGCUAUUGGUUGAAAGUUAAGAAAAUGGCACAUGGGUGUAGGACCCAUUUUUUGUUUAAACAAUCUAGGAUGGGAAUUUCAACUAUGCCAUUGAGUCCAGAACAUUGAAUUUGAUAGGCUAGCAUAGUUCGUUUGCAUCUAUGGGAUUCUGAAUGAACCUCACGGGGUUGGCGUAGACUCGAAAUAUUCUAAGACUCUAGCUGAUGCAAGAAAAUCUGGUGGAACCACUAAAGCGACCUUUUGGGUACUUUAGCAGAGGGUAUUUUUGUGGCCCUCUGGCUGCCUUUAGAGGCCCUGACCCACUCAGCAAAUGCCGCUUUAGCGAUAAUGUCCUCUAAAGUGCUAGUCACUUUAGCACCAAUCGAUCACUUUAGCGGCCUGCUAUGUUAGCAGGAAAGCGCUUUAGCGGUAGUCAGAUGCUUUAGUAUCGACUGCUAAAGCGGCCCAGUGUCUUCUUUAGCGGUAUCUGCACAGGUGGGAAGGGUAUAAAUACCUUCUUCCAUUCUCAAGAAUAUUGACCUUUAAAAGUGGGAGCUCAUGAGAGAAACAAUUAUGGGUGAUUUUAGAGCUUUGAUAUAGUUUAUUUAUGCAUUUUUCUUUUGAAUUCAUGGUAAUCUUCCAUCUAUUUUAGGAUUAAAUCCUUUCUUUUUUAUAAAAUCCUUAGAAUCUUUGUGGAUGAAUUAUAACCCUAUUAAAGCUGGAAUUUACCUAUUUUGGAGGAUAAAUAUUCCUUGAGCAUAGAGGGACAUUGAAUAGGUUUUGAAAGUGCGAUUUCAUAAAUGGGCUCCAUAUGGGAUUUUUGCAUAAUUUUGUACCCAAAUCACAAUAGUGCAAUAUAGGUAUAUGUAACAGCAUAAAUUUUUUGUCAUUGAAAAUUUCUAAAAUUUUAUCCUUACUGUCUUGACUACGACUCACCCUAUAAGUCAUAGGGUGUCUCUAUGGGUCAUAUGACCCUAUUCAUAAGGUGUCCAAUGAAUGGUCCCUAAGUUGCUGUCCUGAUUAUGACUUGAGGCCCCAUGUUGUAAAUACUUAUGAUGAUUCGUUAUGUCCACUUAUUGUGUAACCACUGUACUACCCCAAGUUUUUUGAUGUGACUAUGACUCCAUGUUAUAAGUCAUAAGGACACUUAACGACUCAUAUAGUCCUUUCUAUAAAGAAAAUAGUAUGGUGACCAAAGUAUUCUUCCCUGAGUACAACUAGGAUGUAACGAGUCGUAUAGACUCACUACGAGUCAUUAGAUCCCUCCGUAACCAGACCAAUGUUGAAGGUCCUGGACACUUUCCAGACUAAGACUAGGUGAAAUGAGUCGUAGGGCAACCCUACGAGUCAUAAGGUCACCCGUAACGAUUGAUUGUUUAUUUUGCAGCCUUUUAAUGAGGGUAUUUUAGAUAUUUCCCCUUAUCCCAAAAAUAACCCACGACUUAUAAUUAUUCUUGGCACCUUGUUUUUUAUCCAUAAUACACUCCAAACAUUCUUUCUUCUCUCUCAAGUCUCUCAAGCAUCCAUACUUAGGUUUUCCAAGAUGUGGGUCAACUAAAGCUUUCAAGGGCAUAUUUUCUCCAUAAUCUUGGGUAUUCCAAGCAUGUGACUCUACCCUUAGCUUGUUUUUGUUAAAUGCAUGAAUGUAUAUGGUAAAUUUUAUGGAUUUGAACAAGGGUUUUGAUGUGGUUAAGGGCUUUUGACAUGAUUGUUCAUAUAAUUGAUUUCCCAUACAUUAUUCAUGCUUUAUUAAUGGCUUUGAAACUUGUGGGGUGCAUGGUUUUGGUUGAUAAAUAUAGGGGUUAUGUUUACCUAAAUUUAAUGGUUUUGCCUUAAUUUAUGGCUUUGGAAAUUAUGUGCCCUCAACCUAAUAGUGAAAUUGAUAAUAAACGGCCUUGUCACAUGAUUUGACUUGCUUUCUUGAACUGAUGCACUAGCAUAAAAGGUUACUGAACCAUGGUACAAUUUUAUCGCACCUUAGGGUAUGUGGAUUUCCCGUGUGAAUGUUUAAUUGAAACUAAGGGAUUAUAAAUUUCCCCAUGUGAUGGUUAAUGAAUUAUGGCAUGAUCAUGAGCUUGCAAGUGGGGUUGGUUUAACGAUACCUACAGGAUUCCUUAAUGUUUAAUUGGUUCAGGAAAAUGGGAAUGUGAAUUAAAUGCAUAAAUUGGGAUUUAAUGAGGGUUUUGUAGCCAGGUCGUAAAAGUUGAGGUCCCAAGAGACCAACAUAAAAAAUCGUGCUAGCCGAUGCGGGGGUCUAAUUUACCAAGAGGUUUGAGUCCCCUAUGUUAUAUAAAUCAGUGCUUAAAUCACCUUGAUUUAUUCUGGGAGGUUUAAUUCCCUUAUAAGUUAUAUGACAUAUGAUUAUACUCUACUUCGUGCGGCUACACGCACUAGGACCCUUUCAGUUGGAGGAGAGCUUAGCCCAUAUAGCUUGUGGGUGCCUUGAUUAUGAUGGUUAUGCAUCACAAUCAAGGAUAAGUUUUCAAAGUUCAUGUUAAGCCUUGUUCCCUACCCUGCAUGUGAUAUAUAUAUAUGUAUAUAUAUAUGUAUAUGUAUAUAGAUAUAUAUAUUUAUUUGCAUAUGAUUAUGUGCAUUGGAUUUUGAACUGGUUUUGUAUUAUUGCCCAUGACAUUAUUUGGUAUAGGAACUAUAUAUGCAUAGAUUAUUCAGUAUAAAACUUUAUUAAUGUGGUAUGUGAACUGUAUCUAUAUGGUAUAAGGACUGAAUAUUCAUAGUUUUCUGUAUUAAACUAUAUCAAUAUGGUAUGUGAAUUAUAUAAGUAUGGCAUGAAAACUACAUAUGCAUAGAUUUUCUAUGAAAGGUAUAUCAAUGUAGUAUAGUAACAAUAUCAUUAUAGUAUAAAAACUGCAUAUACAUAGCUUUUCUAUAAAAUUAUAUCAAUGUGGUGUGCAAACUAUAUCAGUAUGGUAUAAAAACUACACAUACAUACGUUAGUUGUAAAAGGUGUAUUAAUGCAAUAUAGUAAUUGUAUCAGUAUGGUGUAGAAACUAGAUAUGAAUAGGUUUCUUACAGGAGGACCACCCAUGAUAAACUGUAAAGGAAAAUUAUUUCAUAUGAGAUUAAAGUCUGUGACAUACAAGUUCUAACAUGUUUGAUUUACCACUAGAUACCUUCAAUCAUAAUAGAGAGAAACUAACAUAAUUCACAGAGGCAAUAAUAGCAUGAAUUUUGGGCCAUAAAACUCAAAUAGUCAGCAAGUGGUCCAGACAUAUGAGAUUUACUUUAGUAGCCAGUAAUGAGAAUGGAGUGUCUUAAGCAUAUAUUAAAAAAUCUAUUGCUACUCAGGAUGAAAGAUAUAAAAAAGAUCUCAAGAGCUUACAAAUUUUAGCAAAUUCUAUAAUGUUAAUUAUUUCGCCUUCUCAUCCAUAGACAAUCCCUGUCCAACUUUGGCAACUCAUUUACAUGCUAUAACCCUUCACAAGGCAAAGAUUCUAGUUUCUCCACAAUGAAUAGUGACACAUAACUGUAUUUGAGAUAUUCAACAUCCAAAGCGUUACUUGAUUCAUCAUCUCACAUGUUUUGGAGAUACAGUACCUAGCAUAGUAGCCAACCUUUAAUAUCCUAGAAACUACAUAAUAGGGAGAAGUUUUGACAUACCUUCAAAAUCAAGUAAACACCGAUCAUCAAUUAAAAUAGUCUAAAAUUGAGAGGAGUGCAACAAUACAAAUUAAAGAUAUAUAAAUUAAUCUCUCUCGAUCUAUACAUACAUAUAUAUAUAUAUAUAAGUGAAACUCUAGCAGAUAGAACCUCAUGUUAAUUGCAUACUUGUAAGUAGGUUCAGAUGAAAAAACAUAGAAGUGUGUCAAGAUCUUAAUUGGUUUGGUUAGUAAUUUAGGUAAAUUAUAGUGCCAAUUUUUGAUGCCUUACAGUGAUUAGUAACUAUUUUCAAAUAUAUCUUUUUCAUAUUUCUCAAUGAAAAGAUAAGUCACAAAGUGAACACCAAGUAAAUAAUUGGUGAAGGUUUAGAGAUUUAUUUUUCGAAGUGUAAGUAACUCUCAGUGUGGUAUAGGAACUAAAUAUGCAUAAGUUCUCUGUAAACUAUAUAAAUUUGGUAUAGAAACAGCAUACAUAUUUUUUUUUUUUGUAUAAACUACACCAGUAUUGUAUAAGAACUAUAGUAGUUUGGUAUUUUUUAUAAAUUUAAUCAGUAUGAUGUAAAUGUUGUAUCAGUUUCAUUUAAAAACUACAUAUGCAUAGAUUUCACUGUAGAAACUCAUCAAUAUGGUAUAGAAAAUAUAUCAGUAUGACAUACAAAUUCUAUAUAUAUAACGUUAUGUAGAGAUUGCAUCAAUAUAUCAUAUUAAUUCUAUCAAUAUUGUAUAUGUGUCAUGAUCCAAACCCCGUUGCGAGAGGUAACCGCACUAAUCCUCAGAUGAGAGAACCAUCUAAACUCAAAUGCCCAGCACUAGUACUUAUUUUUAAAUAUGAAAUGAGCACUUCUAUUAUCAACUAAUAAUUCAAAUAGUUCUAACAAUGAAAAUAAUUUAGGAUAAUCAAAUAUCUAAAAUGCCGCAAGAAACUAAAAGUAAUUGUACCAAUACAACUAAGCAAUAGUGUAACAUCCCGUAUUUCGGGCUAGAAUAAAAACCAUGACUUUGACACGUUGAUAAUUCUAGAGCCUUAAAUCCUGUGCCAAUUUGGCAUGUUAAUCAAUUAUGUAAUAUGAGAAUCCAUUUGAGAAUGAAUUUAGACCAUAAAGGUCCUUCAACUCAAGGACGAGUUAAAACUAUUUCGAUCGAUUAAGUUUUAGUAAACGUUGUAAUUUGUUUCAUCUUUGAUUGACCAUAACUCUCUGUAUAUGUCGAAUUAUAGAGCCAACUAUGUGUCAAAUGAUAAGUCUUUGAGUUAACUUUUCAACGAUACCAAUUUUGCUAAAAUCCGACACCCGAGCAAGAAGUUAUGGCCUUUUAAAGUAGAAUGCGUCGCCUAACCAAUCGCACAUGGCCACUGGAAAGCAUAUGCGAUAGCAUAUGCGGCACCUAUGUAAAUAUAGGCGAUAUCAUAUGCGGCGCAAAUAUAAAUAUAGGAGAUAGCAUAUGCGGCACCUAUGUAAAUAUAGGUGAUAGCAUAUGCGGCGCCUAUGUAAAUAUAGGCGAUAUCAUAUGCGGCGCCUAUGUAAUGGUUUCAAGUGACUUAAACACUCCGUUUUUGGGGUAACUAGUCCUUUUCCCACCCUUAUUCAGCCAUAAAUACGAAAUUCAGUCCCCAAUUCUCCAAAAUACAUCCACAUUCAUCUAAAAGUUCUCAAGAACACUCCCAAGGGUUUCAAACUAAAAACCUAAAUAAAUCAAGAUUCAAUCGUGGGUUUUCAAAAUUGAUUAGAGAUUCGAAAUCCCCAAUCCACAGCUUCAAGAAGCACCCAUUAUUUUUCGAAAUAGAGGUACGCGGAAUUUUUCUAAAUUCUCAUGGGCAUAGAAAAAUCAUGUUUUAGAAUAGGGUUUUUGAAUCUAUGUAUAUAUUUAUGUAUUAAAUGUUUUAACAUCAUUGUUUUGGUCUUUUGACCUUCCCCAAAGUGAUUUAAGAAUAUGAAUAUANNNNNNNNNNNNNNNNNNNNNNNNNNNNNNNNNNNNNNNNNNNNNNNNNNNNNNNNNNNNNNNNNNNNNNNNNNNNNNNNNNNNNNNNNNNNNNNNNNNNNNNNNNNNNNNNNNNNNNNNNNNNNNNNNNNNNNNNNNNNNNNNNNNNNNNNNNNNNNNNNNNNNNNNNNNNNNNNNNNNNNNNNNNNNNNNNNNNNNNNNNNNNNNNNNNNNNNNNNNNNNNNNNNNNNNNNNNNNNNNNNNNNNNNNNNNNNNNNNNNNNNNNNNNNNNNNNNNNNNNNNNNNNNNNNNNNNNNNNNNNNNNNNNNNNNNNNNNNNNNNNNNNNNNNNNNNNNNNNNNNNNNNNNNNNNNNNNNNNNNNNNNNNNNNNNNNNNNNNNNNNNNNNNNNNNNNNNNNNNNNNNNNAAUGUUGUAUGUAUAGAAAAUUUUAAAAAUGGGCAUACAGAGAUGUUAGGUGGUUCCCUGAAGAGGGCUUGAGUUCAAGCAACUCAUUGCCUAAAACCGUGGUUUGCCGACCCGGGUAUAUUAUUAUACGCUAACUUAAGUGUCAUGUGGCGUAUCAGAUUCAAUAACUCCAACCCUUGCGGCAUACUCAGGUUGGAGGCUUCCCCGCCGAGUCAAUUGUAGAUUCCAUAUCGCCCAUGGAAUAUCAGACUUGUAGGGGAUACCACCUAAAUCAGAAGUAAUACACAGAUCAGAGUUUGAGAUUUACAGACAGGUUACAUAUUUUCAAAAGAUGUCCAUGUGUUUUCAGAAAUUGUUUUAUGCAUAAUGUUUGAUUAAAAUUUGCUCUCACAUAUUAUAUAUAUAUAUAUAUAUGUUCAAUUACUCUAUUUUGGAUUGCUUCGCGUGCCAGUACAAUUGUGCUGNNNNNNNNNNNNNNNNNNNNNNNNNNNNNNNNNNNNNNNNNNNNNNNNNNNNNNNNNNNNNNNNNNNNNNNNNNNNNNNNNNNNNNNNNNNNNNNNNNNNNNNNNNNNNNNNNNNNNNNNNNNNNNNNNNNNNNNNNNNNNNNNNNNNNNNNNNNNNNNNNNNNNNNNNNNNNNNNNNNNNNNNNNNNNNNNAUAGUAUGUUAGUAGAGAUUUCGCAGACUAUUGUAGAUGUUUAUUAAAUAUUGUUGGGCAUGUUUUUAGGCCUUUAACUAUUUUAAAUUGUUGACCAUGUUUCCAUAUUAUUGUGUCUAAUCCGUAUUAAUUUGAUCAUAUGAAUUAUGUGCAUGAUUACCAGAUAGACAGAGGGCGUUCUGGGCCUUCGGGUUUGGGAAUGCUCGUCAUGGCUAGGGCCCCAGUUUGGGUCGUGACAAACAUGGUAUCAAAGCACGGUUCAUGGUACUAGGGUGUCUACAAAAUUGCAUUGGGUAGAGUCUUGUUUAUAGGUGUGUAGUGCGCCACACUUAUAAGCAGGAGGCUACAAGGCAUUUAGGAAUGUCUCUCUUUCUUCAUAUUCUAGUUUGUGCUAUAGAGUAAGAAUGUUCCUCCUUCAUACUCUAAUUCGUGCUAUGGUGUCACCCAUAUGAAAAGAAAAGUUAUCCUAAUUUCUUCCUCACUCUGGUGUUUCCAGAUAUUCUUCGAUUAUCUAGCAGAAAUUUUAAAAGUCCCACAAAGGAUGGGAGAGGAGUUCCUUAGUGUAAAAUUGUUUCCCCAUUCUUAUAAAGCGUUCAGUUAAGACAAGAGUAAGAUGUGUAUUCUUGAUUCAUUGAAUAUUGUGUAUCAAGCUUCUAUCUCUUGUAAUCUUGAUAUCAUUGUGUUGUUGAAAACAAAAGUCUAGUGAAGCCGUGUGAGUCCUAUUUCGAUUCACUAGCAUCUUGCUAUUCAUCUUAUUGUUCUUGUGUCUGUUGGAACUGUAUUUCCACCCGAGUAGUAGUAUAAGUUAGAGUGUCCGUGUCAUGACCUAUUCGUAGUGAAAUUAGUUCAAGAAGUUUGUGAUAUGAAGUCAUAAGGUUAGAGGUCAGACUGAGGGUGACUUUUGUGAUUAAAUAUUUAUAGUUGAAUAACCGUUGAUUGAGAAUGAUUUACCCUUUCAUGGUGGUAGACUAAUGUGGUGGUACCAUUUAUGAAUUGUAUAGUAGUCCGUGGAGAAAGUGUUGACUUAGAAUGUUAUUUGUUUUCUUUCUUUCAAAAUAGAGAAAGAGCCCAGAGUUGAUACUUAAGAUGGUUAUAGAAACCCCUUAUAGGCUAUGAAUGAAAAUGGCUAGAUUAGCUAAUAGGUUGUAAGUAUAGACUCAUUUCCAUAUGGGGUAUCUGAAGGUAGUUUAAAUGCCCAUUGGGGUAAGUAAGUGUGAUGUGAGAAAGCCGUAUAAGUAGAUAAGAUUGUAUGCUUAUCCUAUAAGCUUAAGGUUAAUCAUGUCUAUUAUGUGACCUUACCCCUUAACCUUCUUCUCAUUGGUAGUUGUAAACUAAUACUACUUGUGAGAAAGUAUGUAGUAUAUUUUUGAAGUAUUUGGGUAGAAUAUCCCAAUUUGAAGGAUACAUAUUUAUAUUAUGUUGCGCUUUUCAUUGGUUGCAAAUGAUUGAUGCUAGACUAUAGACAUGAAUUUAAAUGGCGUGGUGGUGAAUAGUGGCAAGAGAUUGAUGAUACAUGUUUCGUGGGAUUAGAUUUGUAAGCUUGAUGUGUUGAAAUAGUACAUGUUAAUGGAUUAUGACAAGGAAAAAACCAUAAGGUCAUGAUCGAUUAUUGUGGUUAUGAAUUUCUAGUGUACUAGUGUUUCUUGAUGUUUAUUUCAUAGUUUCUAAGUGAGGAUUGUGUGUAAGGUUGGUUGUAAAUCAUCUUUAGCACUAGACAUUAAGUUUGAAACAAUUGAUGGCCCUGGAGGUGGAUGUGAUGAUUUCUUGGUUAAAGAUACUAGUUAUAUGGAAGUGAUCUAUAGGCUUGAACAGUGUAUGCAAGUGCCUAAGUUUAUUUGAUUCGUAAUGAAGUAUGACAUUGUAUAUGUGAUGUAGAAGUAUGCCCAAGGUGGUAUGAAGCUGUAGUAUUUUUCUAAGGCUAUUACAUGUUGUGUGUGGCUACUGGUACCGUUGAGUUGCUAGGUGAAAAAAUACUAGCUAGAUGGUAUAUGGUGUUCUAAAUAGCCAAGUUAAGGACCUUUGAUUGAUAGCAUUGAGCCUUUUGAUAUGAAUUUGAUUCUCAUGGUAGAGGAAAAUAAGUUUGAAGUUUCUAUCUUGGUAGACUACGAUAGAAAUAGAGUGGCUCAUUGAAGACUUGGUGAUACCCAUGUUAGGUGUUAUAAUCUAAGCUCGAGUCCUUGAAAGUCGUGCUAAUAGAAAUAAGAGUAGAGGCACUAGAGGGUGUGAACUUCAACUUUGGGGAUACUCACGAAGAUUCAAAGUUAGUAAGUGUUCGAGUAAUAGACGAUGACUAUUGGGGUUACAGAAUGAUAGAGCUUAGGAGGUAGUAUUAGCAGUAGGCGUUCCACUCUCAUAUGUGGUCUUUCGGGUUAAGUUUUAUUAAUUUUGUGCAUUGUCAUAUUUCAAAACCCAGAGUGCAGUGAGUGUAGUUAAGUUUAAGGUCUAGUAAGGUAUCUCCCAAAAACUUAAGAUGAUGGGUUGAAGCUAAGGGGGAGAUAACUAAAUGAAUAACCAAGUAAGACUCUCAGAUUCUUGUAGUGGUGUCAUGAUGAUAUAGAAUAUCAAAAAGUAAGGGUGAAUCUCAAUCCAUUCCUAUCUCAGUAUUUCUCAGUGAUCCUAAUACCUACUCAUGCUUUAUGAUUUAGUUCCAUGAUUAGUUCACAUUCAUACAUAUGAUAGAGAGUCAUGUACUCACGCUUUAUAAUGUGCUCCAUUUCCAUAACUCAUGUUUUACGCUAAAUAAUUGGUGAGAUUCAGCUUAUAUCCAUGAAUACCAUAAAUUUAGAGCGCUUUGGUGAGUCCUUGUUGUUGUCUUGCUAUUUCUCAGGCCUCAGAUGAGUGUCAAGCUUUAUAUAGUAUCAUUCCAUGCCUCCAGAUCUUAUGUUCUAACCUUUUUGUGACUCCUCCUUAUGCGAUAAUAGUGGUGGUGAGUAAUUAUUCCUUGUUGAUGGAAGAUCAUAGUACGCUUAGAUAAGGCCAUAAGUAUGAAGUCAGAUUUGGGGCCAAGUUUUUAUUUAUGUGAUGGUUAGUGGAAUUUUGUAUGUGUAUGUUCUUGGGGUAGCUUGUGGGAGUGAUAUUGAUAAUGGUUUAGAGAAUAUGUGAAGUAUGCCUUUAUGAGUGUUUGCUUUGAAGUUCAUAUGUGGUUAUAAAAAUAGGCUUGAAUGACAUGUCGAGAUUGUUGUAAAGGAACGCUAUGUGCGCUAACGACUUCAUAGUAAGAGUUCAAAGUAGUCAUUGAAGUGAGGAGAUAUAGAAGAUUGCAUCAUAUGGUUUAGAAUAAUAGCGUGGUCUGGCAUAUUGUAUUUUUGUGACUUAGAGUUAGGCUUGAUCACGGCGAAGGGAUUAUGUUAUUUCCCACAUUAGUAGAAAGAUUUGUCAAUGCUCAUAUGAGAAUUUUAAGCUGAGUUGAAUGAAUAUGAUAUUUAAGGAGAAUAGUAUAGUUAAGUGAUAUUCGAGAAGUGUGCUAAGCUUNNNNNNNNNNNNNNNNNNNNNNNNNNNNNNNNNNNNNNNNNNNNNNNNNNNNNNNNNNNNNNNNNNNNNNNNNNNNNNNNNNNNNNNNNNNNNNNNNNNNNNNNNNNNNNNNNNNNNNNNNNNUAUAAUUCAGUCUAUAUGGCCAAUAAGUCAGUUUAGCAGUCAGAUUCACAUGACUUGUUUUCUCGUCUUUGGACUUAUUCAUGUUACUCGAAAUCUCAGACAUGCUACUAUUCCAAGAUAGAGUAUACUAGUAGUUACGAGUAUAGCCCAGUUCAUGCAUCAUGCAUUAAAUUUAGAUUCCAUAUGUUCAGUUAUGAUUCAAUUCGUAGGUGCCCUGUGCAUCGCCUCAAUUUUCCGAGUAUCUUAGUGAAUUGAGUAUUCAUAGAGGGACAUAAGGUACCAAAGGGGAGAUACCCCAUUUAGUUGCAUGCAUAGAUUCUUAUUACAAGCUUCACAUCAGUUAUUAUUGCGUAUUUAGCCAUACGUUCAUACAUUAGUUCAGUCAGAUAUGCAUGCAUUAGAAAUGCAUGUUCAAUAGAAAAGUUCAGCUUAUCAGUGUAUUUAGUCCUGCAUUCAAGAGAACAACUCGGUCACAGAUCCAUGCACCAGAUAUGCAUGAUUCAUUAUGACAAUUCAGCCUAUGAGUAGCUUCAGUUGUGUAUUCCAUGCCUCAGAUAUGCAUGUCCGGUAUAAGUAUUUAAAAUAAUAGUAGUUCCAAUCUUAUAGUCAUGUUUUCCGAUCAGUGUAUUCUUUCUUAGGAAACAUAUAAUAUCCGCGUUAUCCCAUACCCUUAAGACUUCGACAUUCUAUCCAUCAUUCAGGAACGAAUGAUCCCAAGGGGGAGAUAAUGUAACACCCCGCAUUUCGGGCUAGAAUAAAAACAAUGACUCUGACGCAUUGAUAAUCCCAGAGCCUUAAAUCCUAUGCCAAUUUGGCAUGUUAAUCAAUUAUGUAGUAUGUGAAUCCAUUUGAGCAGGAAUUUAGACCAUAGAGGUCCUUCAAUUUAAGGACGAGUUGAAACUAUUUCGAUCGAUUAGGUUUUAGUGGAUAUUGUAAUUUAUGUCAGCUUCCAUUGACCAUAACUCUUUAUAUAUGUCGAAUUAGAGAGGCAACUAUGUGUCAAAUGAUAGGUCUUCGAGUUAACUUUCCAACGAUACCAAUUUUGCCAAAAUCCGACACCCGAGUAAGAAGCUAUGACCUUUCAAAGUAGAAUGCAUCUCCUAACCAAUCACACAUGGCAACUGGAAAGCAUAUGUGAUAGCAUAUGCGGUGCCUAUGUAAAUAUAGGUGAUAUCAUAUGCGGUGCCUAUGUAAAUAUAGGCGAUAGCAUAUGCGGCACCUAUGUAAAUAUAGACGAUAUCAUAUGCGGCGCCUAUUUAAUGGUUUCAAGUGACUUAAACACUCCGCUUUUGGGACAAAAUGGUCCUUUUCCCACACUUAUUCAGCCAUAACACGAAAUUCAGUCCCCAAUUCUCCAAAAUACAUCCACAUUCAUCUAAAAAUUCUCAAGAACACUCCCAAGGGUUUCAAACUAAAAAUCCAAAUAAAUCUAGAUUCAACCAUGGGUUUUCAAAAUUGAUUAGCGAUUCGGAAUCCCCAAUCCACAGGCUUCAAGAAGCACCCAUUAUUUUCCAAAAUAGAGGUAUGCGGGGUUUUCCUAAAUUCUCAUGGACAUAGAAAAAUCAUGUUUUAGAAUGGGGUUUUUGAAUCUAUGUACAUAUUCAUGUAUUAAAUGUUUUAACAUCAUUGUUUUGAUCUUUUGACCUUCCCCAAAGUGAUUUGAGAAUAUGAAUGUAUGAAACCAUGUAUUUAAGAAUGAAUUCUUUUUGAGAGCAUGAUUUUUGGUGAAUUUCCUCUUAUUAUGAAUUUUUCAAAUUUCUCAUGGCAUAUGAAUUGUUUUGCAAUGCAUCCUUGAAAAGCACUAUAUGAAAUUAUUGAACUCUUGUUAUGAUUUAAAGGUGGUUUAAAAUCACUAAAGAGGAAAUCUAGCAUGAAUGUUUAAUGUUCAUAAUGCAUGUAAUGACAGAGUGCAUAGAUUUGCUAAAGGAACUAGACCACCAUAUGUUGAUGAAGUUUUUGCAUGAUUUUGACUUGAGUUUUGAAACACGAAAUCUUCUAUAUCAGUUGCAUGUUUUUGGUGGUCUAAAUUAUGCUUUAAAUGAAAGAUUUAUCUUAAUGUAUUAUGACCUAGAAAUCAUGAAUGCAAGUCUUGGUAUGACGAUACCAAUUUAGACUAAUGCCAUAUCAGACUCAGACUAAUAAACAUUUCAGACUAUCAUAAUUUUGGACAUUCAGAAUGUUGCAUGUACAGAAAAGGUUAAAAAUGGGCAUACAGAGAUGUUAGGUGGUUCCUUGAAGAGGGCUUGAGUUCAAGAAACUCAUUUCCUAAAACCGUGGCUUACCGACUUGGGUAUAUUAUUAUACGCUGACUUAAGUGUUGGGUGGCGUAUCAGAUUCAGUAACUCCAACCCUUGUAGCAUACUCGGGUUGGAGGCUUCCCCACCGCGUUAAUGAAGGAUUCCAUAUCGCCCGUGGAAUAUCAUACUUGUAGGGGAUACCACCUAAAUCAGAAGUAAUACACAGAUCAAAGUUUGAGAUUUACAGAUAGGUUACAUGUUUUCAGAAGAUGCCCAUAUGUUUUCAAAAACUGUUUUAUGCAUAAUGUUUGAUAAAAAUUUGCUAUCACGUAUUUUAUAUAUGUGUGUAUGUGUGUUCAAUUACUCUAUUUUGGAUUGCUUCGCGUGCCAGUACAAUUAUGCUAACCCCCUCUUCCUCCCAGGUACUGAGGCACAGUCUAGUGGUCCAGAUCCUCAGUAGAGUCUACAGAUAGGGUUGUCUCAGAGUUCAGUUGGUGAGCCUUCUUUGCUUCGGAAGGCCUAGUCAUUUAGGUAUUUAUUUCAGUAUGAUUUUUGGUCUGCUGGGGGCCUUGUCCCAGUUAUUCAGAUAGUAUGUCAGUAGAGAUUUCGCAGACUGUUGCAGAUGUUUAUUAAAUAUUGUUGGGCAUGUUUUCAGGCCUUUAACU